GUGGAGAUAUGUAGAAGUGGAGAUAUGUAGAAGUGGAGAUAUGUAGAGUGGAGAUAUGUAGAAGUGGAGAUAUGUAGAGUGGAGAUAUGUAGAGUGGAGAUAUGUAGAAGUGGAGAUAUGUAGAAGUGGAGAUAUGUAGAAAUGGAGAUAUGUAGAAGUGGAGAUAUGUAGAAGUGGAGAUAUGUAGAAGUGGAGAUAUGUAGAAGUGGAGAUAUGUAGAAGUGGAGAUAUGUAGAAGUGGAGAUAUGUAGAAGUGGAGAUAUGUAGAAGACAAACAGAUGAACUGUCAGUAUACUCAGUUGAACUGUUGGCGAUAGUAGUUUGCCUUCAGUGGUUGGAGGACAUACAACCUGUCAGAAUUAUAGUACGCUCAGAUUCCCUGUCUGUGUUGAAUAGUUUAUCAUCUGGUAAAUCUAAUAGGAGUGACCUACUAUUGGAGGCAUUAAUGUUAUUGUGG
rnacentral:lncRNA from 1 species